AUUGAACGCUGGCGGCGGGCCUAACACAUGCAAGUCGAACGAGUGGCGGACGGGUGAGUAAUGUCUGGGAAACUGCCUGAUGGAGGGGGAUAACUACUGGAACCGGUAGCUAAUACCGCAUACCAUCGGAUGUGCCCAGAUGGGAUUAGCUUUUUGGUGGGGUAAGGGCUCACCAAGGCGACGAUCCCUAGCUGGUCUGAGAGGAUGACCGGCCACACUGGAACUGAGACACGGUCCAGACUCCUACGGGAGGCAGCAGUGGGGAAUAUUGCACAAUGGGCGCAAGCCUGAUGCAGCCAUGCCGCGUGUAUGAAGAAGGCCUUCGGGUUGUAAAGUACUUUCGGCGGGGAAGCGUUACCCGCAGAAGAAGCACCGGCUAACUCCGUGCCAGCAGCCGCGGUAAUUC
rnacentral:rRNA from 1 species